rnacentral:lncRNA from 10 species
GCAAUGGCAGCCCACAGCAGCAGUUGCUGUGGUCAAGGGAGCUUGCCCUACAAGUGUGUAAAUAUGUGCUGAGGUGUCAUUGCUGGAUGUAGGAAGGUCUUUGGCAAUGGCUUAUGCUUCAGCCCUGACAACAGGAGCUGUGGGCAGGAAAUGUCAAUGUGGCUCCAGAGAUGUGGAGAUACAGAAGCUAUUGGCUCCCAGGUUAUAAGGCAGACAGGAUGAACACUUUACGUUAACUUUACAAGAAAACAAUACUGGAAAGGUAAGAAACUUUGGACCAACUUUUUUAGUUAACACAAAUUUUAUGAUUGUCCAACGUGCAAAGUUUUGGGAGUAAGUGUGCAGGGAAGUAAGAGGGUGAAGUUAAGCCAUUUAGUCUUUUUAUUCUCCAGAGCACCUAGCACAGUUCUUUGUAUCUGAUAUUUAAACCUGUUGAUUGGAAUCUAUAUGACCCGCCAUUAUGGACUGAAUUUUGCCUCCCUUCCCUAAAAUCCUGUAUUGAAG